CCUACGGGGGGCAGCAGUAGGGAAUAUUGCUCAAUGGGGGAAACCCUGAAGCAGCAACGCCGCGUGGAGGAUGAAGGUUUUCGGAUUGUAAACUCCUUUUGUUAGAGAAGAUAAUGACGGUAUCUAACGAAUAAGCACCGGCUAACUCCGUGCCAGCAGCCGCGGUAAUACGGAGGGUGCAAGAGUUACUCGGAAUCACUGGGCGUAAAGAGCGCGUAGGCGGGUUAGCAAGUCAGAUGUGAAAUCCUAUGGCUUAACCAUAGAACUGCAUUUGAAACUGUUAUUCUAGAGUAUGGGAGAGGUAGGUGGAAUUCUUGGUGUAGGGGUAAAAUGCGUAGAGAUCAAGAAGAAUACUCAUUGCGAAGGCGGCCUGCUAGAACAUAACUGACGCUGAUGCGCGAAAGCGUGGGGAGCAAACAGGAUUAGAUACCCGGGUAGUC
rnacentral:rRNA from 1 species